rnacentral:rRNA from 1 species
UACGUAGGGGGCAAGCGUUGUCCGGAUUUAUUGGGCGUAAAGAGCUCGUAGGCGGUUCCGUAAGUCGAGUGUGAAAAAUCUGGGCUCAACCCAGUGGAGCACUCGAUACUGCGGUGACUAGAGUACGGUAGAGGAGUGUGGAAUUCCUGGUGUAGCGGUGAAAUGCGCAGAUAUCAGGAGGAACACCAACGGCGAAGGCAGCACUCUGG